AAAAGAAAUAGUGAAAUAAAGGACCAAAAUGAACAUGCGUGAAAGAAAUGGGCACUAAGGGCGGAAUAUUCUCCAUUACCAAAACGCAGCGCAGCAUGGAGGGACUAAAUUGUAGGGGGAGAAAAUAUUUAGGGCCAAAUUAAAAAUAGCAAAAAAAACCUGAUUGUGAAAUAGCAAAAAUGCGGAAGGGCCGAUCGCGAAAUUAGCCCUUCCGUUUCAAAAAGACGCGGACCCUGGCCGGACGGGUCGGGUCGACCCGACCCGAAUCCCUAAACGGCGUCGUUUAGUUUAAACAGAGGGGGGGUCCAAAACGGUGGACCCCUAUAUAAGUCAAAAUUUUUUUUUAAAAGUUCAUUUGAAACGGGGAAAGAAAACAAAAGAAAAGAAGAGGGAGAGAAGAGGAAGAGAGGCGGGGAAGGAAGGGAUUCCGGUCACGGGCCGGUCACCGGCCGGCGCCGGCGCCGGCCACCGCGUGGUAUGAAUUUUUUUUUUAGUUCUUUUUUCCUAAAGUAUAUGCAUGCGAUGGAUUUAAAGAUUAAAAAGAAAAAAUCACCUUGAACCCUGUUUUGGUAUUCUGUUUUUUUGGAUUUUGUCGAUUCGGGGUUUUCCCUUCGCUGCGAUAUCACUGUGACUGUAUCUAUAAUUUAGUGUUUUUGUUCUUAGAGUAAUGGAAAUGUGAAAACUUGCUUCUAUAUAUCAGGAGCCGGGGUCCUUUUACAAAAAUUCAAUCGGCUUAUAUGGCCAUUCUUUUUACAAGUUGUUCUCUAUACUUUUAGCUUUCUGUCUCGUCCGUUCAAUGUGUUGCAGGGACUUUAGGCGGUGCUGAGAUAUUGUGGGGGUUCGGUCGGCCUUGGCAGAGGCAAGUGGCGGGUUAGGGUGGCUGAAAGUCAAAAGCUGAAGACCCUAGGUGGGGCGCACCUAGGGUUUGGUUGCUGACUUGAGAGGGAUGGGCUAGGGUUUGAUGAUAGGUGGCAUUUGGGUCUGUUUGUUGGGCUAGAAUUUGGGCUGUUAGUUGGGUGGGUAGGAUUAGUUUUUUUGUUUGAAGAUGGGUUAAAUGGGUAAUUGAGUUGUAAGUGGGUCUUAGGGGGAUUAGUGGGUUUAAUUGCACUUGGGCUCGGGUAAUUUGGGCUUCUACAAAUGUCAUUAUCACAAAUAAUUCCAACCUAAAUCCAAUAUAAUCACCUCUAUAUAUUUCUAUUUGACCCCUUCAAUUUAAAUUGUUAUAAUCACUUUAAUUGAUGCACUGUGUGGAAUAUGAUCCUAUUUGCACUCUUGGUCGCUACAUCUAUUAAGUUGUAAAAUAUUCUAAUUUCUAAAAUUCAAUCCAGUAUGUUGAUAAUUGUUUGCAUUUAAAAUAUAAAAUUAAUAAUUUCCUUUUCUAAAACAAUUCCUACCACAAAAAAUACUUUUUUUUUAAAGUUAAAGACUAGUUAGUAUUUUCCAUUAAAAAAAUUAGUUGGCCACCUAAAAGAAUUGGUUUCUAUUAAUUUUAAUUUUCCAAAUAUAUUUUUAUAAAAAUAUUUUUUUUUACUGAUACAAUAUUAGAGGAAGUGAAGG
rnacentral:lncRNA from 1 species